rnacentral:rRNA from 1 species
CAAAAUGACUCUCGGCAACGGAUAUCUCGGCUCUCGCAUCGAUUAAGAACGUAGCGAAAUGCGAUACUUGGUGUGAAUUGCAGAAUCCCGUGAACCAUCGAGUCUUUGAACGCAAGUUGCGCCCGAAGCCAUUAGGCCGAGGGCACGCCUGCCUGGGUGUCACA